UAAAUUUAAAUUAUAAGGUGCAAACUUAAUUUUAAAUUAUUUUUCUAUUUUAUUUUUAAUUUUAUUUUUAUUUUAAUUAUUUUUUGAUAAUUAAUUUUUUAAAAUAUUGAACGUAGGAAUCAACCAUACCAAUUCCGAUAAGGUGAUUUAUGGCUCUAUUAUCAUUCGUUGGAUCGUUGGUGCUAACUAUUAAUUCUAAAAGCUCGGAGUACUAGAAAGAUGCAAUUAAUUCACUUAAAGCGUACAGAUUUAGCGUUCACGGAUCUCGAUUAUGAUUCAGCCUAACCAGCCUCAUACCAUUUCAAAUAUGACUCGACUCAACUCGACCUCUUAUUAUUUUGAACGCGACUCAACCCAACCUGGUCUCAUGCCAUAGGGUAAGAUGUUGACCCAUUUAAGCUAACAAUGUGUUAUGAGUAGGGGUUUACAGUACAUUUAUG
rnacentral:lncRNA from 1 species